GAUUUUUUACAGUGCUGGAGGACUGCAAGUCCAGCGCAGGAAAUCCUCUUUGGCAAAUUCUCAUUGAGUCCCUGGAAGUUCAUUUCUCCAGCAGUCUCUAUCCGAGUUUUUUGCUGCAGAUUUUAAUCUGCCCUUAAACACAUCACGAUAUUAUCAAAUGUAUCCUCCAUUUCUCUGAAGGAUUCUUUGUCUGCAGAAUUGCUAGAAACCAGUCCAGCUGAUUGGAGCCAGAGGUUACAUGGUUCUCCUGCCCUCUUUGGUCUGAAGAAAAGUGCUGCAUUGCUGUUGGUUUUGCAAGGUGGGUUAACUUUGGCAGGAGAGAGAACAAGCUGCAGUGACGUCUGGUCCCCAGCUGGAUGAGUCUCCACUGGCCCUUAGCAUGGGGCUUUGCCUGAGGCUGGUGAGAGGCCUCUAGCCCACACAUUGCUGAAGCCAUUUAAAACCCAGAAUUUCUUCAGACCAGCCCAGGACUUCUCCAUCGUAUCUGCAGCAAGUACACUGCCAUUACAACUUUUUGUUGCAUCCAAGCGAUUCAUGCCAGUGUUAACUGCGGAAAACAAUCCUAAUGUAGGUUUGUUAGCUCAUUAGCUACAAGUCUGUAAGGGCAUGAGUGACGUACGAGA
rnacentral:lncRNA from 1 species